GAUGAACGCUGGCGGCGUGCCUAAUACAUGCAAGUCGAGCGAACGGACGAGAAGCUUGCUGCUCUGAUGUUAGCGGCGGAGGGGUGAGUAACACGUGUAUAACCUACCUAUAAGACUGGGAUAACUUCGGGAAACCGGAGCUAAUACCGGAGAAUAUCUUGAACCGCAUGGUGCAAAAGAGAAAGACGGCGUUGCCGGCAGUGGGGGAUGGAUAUGCGCUGCAUCAGCUGGUUGGUAGGGUAGUGGGUUACCAAGGCGUUGAUGCAUAGCCGGCAUGAGAGGGUGAGCGGCCACAUGGGGACUGAGGUACGGCCCAGACUCCUACGGGAGGCAGCAGUGGGGAAUAUUGCACAAUGGGCGGAAGCCUGAUGCAGCAACGCCGCGUGCGGGAUGACGGCCUUCGGGUUGUAAACCGCUUUCGCCUGUGACGAAGCGUGAGUGACGGUAAUGGGUAAAGAAGCACCGGCUAACUACGUG
rnacentral:rRNA from 1 species